rnacentral:rRNA from 1 species
UACGGAGGGUGCAAGCGUUGUUCGGAAUUAUUGGGCGUAAAGCGCGUGUAGGCGGCUAUUUAAGUCUGAUGUGAAAUCCCGCAGCUCAACUGCGGAAUUGCCCUUGAUACUGUUGGUCUUGAGUUCGGGAGAGGGUGGCGGAAUUCCCGGUGUAGGAGUGAAAUCCGUAGAUAUCGGGAGGAACACCAGUGGCGAAGGCGGCCACCUGGACAGGUACUGACGCUGAGGUGCGAAAGUGUGGGGGGCAAACAGG